AUUGAACGCUGGCGGCAGGCCUAACACAUGCAAGUCGAGCGGAUGAGGGGAGCUUGCUCCCUGAUUUAGCGGCGGACGGGUGAGUAAUGCGUAGGAAGCUGCCCGAUAGAGGGGGAUACCAGUUGGAAACGACUGUUAAUACCGCAUAAUGUCUACGGACCAAAGUGUGGGACCUUCGGGCCACAUGCUAUCGGAUGCGCCUACGUGGGAUUAGCUAGUUGGUGAGGUAAUGGCUCACCAAGGCGACGAUCUCUAGCUGGUUUGAGAGAAUGAUCAGCCACACUGGAACUGAGACACGGUCCAGACUCCUACGGGAGGCAGCAGUGGGGAAUAUUGGACAAUGGGCGCAAGCCUGAUCCAGCCAUGCCGCGUGUGUGAAGAAGGCCUUCGGGUUGUAAAGCACUUUCAGCGAGGAGGAAGGGAGUCGUGUUAAUAGCGCAGCUUUUUGACGUUACUCGCAGAAGAAGCACCGGCUAACUCUGUGCCAGCAGCCGCCGUAAUAC
rnacentral:rRNA from 1 species